rnacentral:rRNA from 1 species
UACGUAGGGGGCAAGCGUUGUCCGGAUUUAUUGGGCGUAAAGCGCGUGUAGGCGGUCAGGUAGGUCCGUUGUGAAAACUCGAGGCUCAACCUCGAGACGCCGAUGGAAACCAUCUGACUAGAGUCCGGAAGAGGAGAGUGGAAUUCCUGGUGUAGCGGUGAAAUGCGCAGAUAUCAGGAAGAACACCAGUGGCUAAGGCGGCUCUCUAGUACGGUACUGACGCUGAGACGCGAAAGCGUGGGGAGCGAACAGG